GAUGAACGCUGGCGGCGUGCCUAAUACAUGCAAGUCGAGCGAACAGAUAAGGAGCUUGCUCCUUUGACGUUAGCGGCGGACGGGUGAGUAACACGUGGGUAACCUACCUAUAAGACUGGGAUAACUUCGGGAAACCGGAGCUAAUACCGGAUAACAUUAGGAACCGCAUGGUUCUAAAGUGAAAGAUGGUUUUGCUAUCACUUAUAGAUGGACCCGCGCCGUAUUAGCUAGUUGGUAAGGUAACGGCUUACCAAGGCGACGAUACGUAGCCGACCUGAGAGGGUGAUCGGCCACACUGGAACUGAGACACGGUCCAGACUCCUACGGGAGGCAGCAGUAGGGAAUCUUCCGCAAUGGGCGAAAGCCUGACGGAGCAACGCCGCGUGAGUGAUGAAGGGUUUCGGCUCGUAAAACUCUGUUAUUAGGGAAGAACAAAUGUGUAAGUAACUGUGCACGUCUUGACGGUACCUAAUCAGAAAGCCACGGCUAACUACGUG
rnacentral:rRNA from 1 species